GGCUGUAACUCAGUGGUAGAGCACUUGUCUAGCAUGUGUGAGGUCCUGGGUUCAAUCCCCAGCACCA
rnacentral:tRNA from 1 species